GUGGGUGUAGCCCAACGGUUAGGAGGCGCAUGACUGUGGAUCAUGACAGUGUGGGUUCAAAUCCCAUCACCCACC
rnacentral:tRNA from 1 species